rnacentral:rRNA from 1 species
GACGAACGCUGGCGGCGUGCUUAACACAUGCAAGUCGAACGGGCCUGUCUUCUUUUUUGGGGGGUGGGUUGAGUGGCGAACGGGUGAGUAUCACGUGAGUAACCUGCCCUUCGGUCCUGGAUAACCGCUUGAAAGGGCGGCUAAUACGGGGUGGUCCGGUUGGUCCGCAUGGGCUGGUCGGGAUAGAUUCACUGUUUUUGGUGUUUCGGCGGGGGAUGGGCUGGCGGCCUAUCAGCUUGUUGGUGGGGUGUUGGCCUACCAAGGCGGUGACGGGUAGCCGGCCUGAGGGGGUGGGGGGCCACAGUGGGACUGAGAUACGGCCCAGACUCCUGCGGGAGGCAGCAGUGGGGGGUAUUGCACAAUGGGCGGAAGCCUGAUGCAGCGACGUCGCGUGAGGGAUGGAGGCCUUCGGGUUGUGAACCUCUGUUUCCGGUGGUGAAGGCCCUGUCCGUGUGGUGGGGUUGACGGUAGCCGGGGAUGAAGCGCCGGCUAACUACGUG